CGAGAGUGCCCUUCCGAGCUGGUGAGAUUCGCGUUCUAGACAAACCCGAUCAUCCCAGCCCAGAGGGCACUCUCGUCAUAUUUCCACGCCGCCCCAG
rfam:Micromonospora narathiwatensis strain DSM 45248 genome assembly, chromosome: I